GAUUAUGGUUCAGGACGAACGCUGGCGGCGUGCCUAACACAUGCAAGUCGAACGGUCUUUUCUAUGGAAGCUUGCUUCCACUGAGAAGAUAGUGGCGAACGGGUGAGUAACACGUGGGUAACCUGCCCAUAAGAGGGGGGAUAACAUCCGGAAACGGGUGCUAAUACCGCAUAGUUUUCUUGAUCGCAUGAUUGAGAAAGGAAAGACGGCCUUUGUGCUGUCGCUUAUGGAUGGACCCGCGGCGUAUUAGUUAGUUGGUGAGGUAACGGCUCACCAAGACGAUGAUACGUAGCCGACCUGAGAGGGUGAUCGGCCACAUUGGGACUGAGACACGGCCCAAACUCCUACGGGAGGCAGCAGUAGGGAAUCUUCCGCAAUGGACGAAAGUCUGACGGAGCAACGCCGCGUGAGUGAAGAAGGUUUUCGGAUCGUAAAACUCUGUUGUCAGAGAAGAACAAGUUGGGGAGUAACUGCUCCAGCCUUGACGGUAUCUGACCAGAAAGCCACGGCUAACUACGUGCCAGCCGCCGC
rnacentral:rRNA from 1 species